rnacentral:lncRNA from 1 species
CGCAUGCCCCCUGAGUAAUCCUUGGGAGCGCGAAAAAGUUUUGAAACUUUCCGCGACGUCAAUAGUAAACUAAAUCUGGCCCUCCAGAAAGGUGUGGCGGGGGUGGGAGGAGGCGGUGUUCAGGCGCACGACACUACGUUCUUUUGAGACUUUGCCGUCACAACUCUGCACGACUGCAUGGUCGUCCCUUCUUUUCGUUAUUAUAUAUUGGCCGUGAAUUCUGUGUCAGAGCCAGUUUCAGCCAAGCCAGCAGUAAAGGAGUCGGGGUCGAGGAGCGGAUCCCAGUCUUAAAAUGAGGGAUACACGGGACACCUGCACACAAACGUUGGAUUUUGUCCUGCAUAGUCCGAAAGGUACCACCCAGAUACCUGAAGUACUCUCUCCCAGUAACUCCCCUGGUUCCUACCACCUCCCACC